rnacentral:rRNA from 1 species
GCAAGUCGAACGAGAAAGUNACCUUCGGGUGCGAGUAGAGUGGCGCACGCGUUAGUAACACGUAGGUAAUCUACCUUUUGGUGGGGGAUAACCAGGAGAAAUCCUGGCUAAUACCGCAUGAGUUGGAAACAAGAAAGGAUGCUCCGGCAUUCGCCGAAAGAUGAGCCUGCGGGACAUUAGCUUGAUGGUGGGGUAAUGGCCUACCAUGGCUUCGAUGUCUAGCUGGUCUGAGAGGAUGAUCAGCCACACUGGAACUGAGACACGGUCCAGACUCCUACGGGAGGCAGCAGUGGGGAAUAUUGCGCAAUGGGGGAAACCCUGACGCAGCAACGCCGCGUGAGUGAGGAAGGCCCUCGGGUCGUAAAGCUCUGUCAGAUGGGAAGAAACUACAUUGGUCUAAUAGGCCUUUGUACUGACGGUACCAUCAAAGGAAGCACCGGCUAACUUCGUGCCAGCAGCCGCGGUAAUACGAAGGGUGCAAGCGUUAUCCGGAAUCACUGGGCGUAAAGCGUCUGUAGGUGGUUUGAUAAGUCAACUGUUAAAUCUUGAGGCUCAACCUCAAAAUCGCAGUCGAAACUAUUAGACUAGAGUAUAGUAGGGGUAAAGGGAAUUUCCAGUGGAGCGGUGAAAUGCGUAGAGAUUGGAAAGAACACCGAUGGCGAAGGCACUUUACUGGGCUAUUACUAACACUGAGAGACGAAAGCUAGGGUAGCAAAUGGGAUUAGAUACCCCAGUAGUCCUAGCUGUAAACAAUGGAUACUAGAUGUUGAACAGAUCGACCUGUGCAGUAUUAAAGCUAACGCGUUAAGUAUCCCGCCUGGGAAGUAUGCUCGCAAGAGUGAAACUCAAAGGAAU